GCCCGGGUGGUGAAACAGGUAGACACAGGAGACUUAAAAUCUUCCGGCCGCGAGGCUUUGCGGGUUCGAGUCCCGCCCCGGGCACCA
rnacentral:tRNA from 1 species